rnacentral:rRNA from 1 species
UACGGAGGGUGCAAGCGUUAUCCGGAUUCACUGGGUUUAAAGGGUGCGUAGGCGGGUUGGUAAGUCAGCGGUGAAAUCUCCAGGCUUAACUUGGAAACUGCCAUUGAUACUAUCAAUCUUGAAUACCGUGGAGGUCAGCGGAAUAUGUCAUGUAGCGGUGAAAUGCUUAGAUAUGACAUAGAACACCAAUUGCGAAGGCAGCUGGCUACACGAAUAUUGACACUGAUGCACGAAAGCGUGGGGAUCAAACAGG